rnacentral:RNase_P_RNA from 1 species
GAAUCAGGCUGGGCGAUCGCUGGUGGGCGCGCAUGUCGCAUCCACUGGAGGAAGGUCCGGACUCCACAGGACAGGGUGCUGGCUAACGGCCAGGCGUCGCAAUGCCGCAAGGCGUGGCGGCGACGGAAAGUGGAACAGAAAGCACACCGCCCAAGCGUGGCCGGGAAACCGGCCGCGACGGUAAGGUUGAAAUGGCGAGGUAAGAGCUCACCGCGGCCCUGGCGACAGGGCUGGCACGCUAAACCCCACCCGGAGCAACAUCAAAUAGGCACACGCCGGGCCGAGAGGCCUGACGGGCGGUCCGCCCGAGUGUGCGGGUAGAUGGCUAGAGCGUACGGGUAACCCUACGCCCAGAGGAAUGAUCGUCAGCCGGCUCGCCGGCGCACAGAAUCCGGCCUACAGGCCUGGUUCGCAC